AUCAAUGCUGAUUCAUCAGAAGUGCAUCUGCUGUUGAGGGAGAUCAAGAUUUCCAUAGAAAAGCUACAGGCCAAAGCAUCCAGCUGCAUAGCCUACCAGAAGAAAUUUAAGAUGGAGGUGACCAAAUUUGAGUCAUUGGAGCAGCUAACGGCAAUGUUCAAGCUAAUACAGUUGCUCUGGACCUCUCUGGAGCAAUGGGACCCUUUACAGAAUGGAUGGCAGCAGAAAUUAUCAGUCUGUAAUUUAUAUGGACGUGUCAGGAGACACAGCUGCUGUAGAGGACGC